CCCAAAUACAUUGCAGGAUUGAGUCAUACUGCAGUGUGGAAAGGCCAACCCUCAAUUAUCCAUGUUUAGAGGGAACUCAAGGUCCCAAGGCAAGGCUCACAGGAGGGGGCAAAACUUAGAAGCUAAGAGUGAGUGUAAGUGCAGAGAGGGAAUUCUGAAAAGGGGAAAAGGAAGUGGCAAAGGGAAACGAUAGGCUAGUGGGCAUACCUAGCAAUGGGAAAUGCUGGUACACUCCACAAGUCUGUUAAAACACAUUGUUUUGGGAGCUAGGAUCCCCUAAUGGAUCAUGUCCAAAUAUGAACAAUAACUUGCAUAUUGCCACAUCCUGAACUAUAACUCAAAGCACAUAAAGGGAAAUAGGGUGCAGGGAUAUAUAGGAGAAAUAAAUAACAGGAAAUUAACAUGCUAGUCAACAUUUAACUCCACAUAGACAGUAAAAUAGACAUAGAAAUGUAAAGGCUAUAAGUAAGCACAUUGAGAUGAUACAGAAGCUAAAACUAGAACAUACCACUCUUUAAGAAACACGUAAGAAGAAAGCAGUACUCUUGUAAAGCCAAAGUGUAAAUAGGCAGCCAGAAUACUAUGAG
rnacentral:lncRNA from 1 species